rnacentral:rRNA from 1 species
GUGGGGAAUUUUGGACAAUGGGCGAAAGCCUGAUCCAGCCAUGCCGCGUGCAGGAUGAAGGCCUUCGGGUUGUAAACUGCUUUUGUACGGAACGAAAAGACUCCUUCUAAUAAAGGGGGUCCAUGACGGUACCGUAAGAAUAAGCACCGGCUAACUACGUGCCAGCAGCCGCGGUAAUACGUAGGGUGCAAGCGUUAAUCGGAAUUACUGGGCGUAAAGCGUGCGCAGGCGGUUAUAUAAGACAGAUGUGAAAUCCCCGGGCUCAACCUGGGAACUGCAUUUGUGACUGUAUAGCUAGAGUACGGCAGAGGGGGAUGGAAUUCCGCGUGUAGCAGUGAAAUGCGUAGAUAUGCGGAGGAACACCGAUGGCGAAGGCAAUCCCCUGGGCCUGUACUGACGCUCAUGCACGAAAGCGUGGGGAGCAAACAGGAUUAGAUACCCGGGUAGUCC